ACUCCUGCGGGAGGCAGCAGUGGGGAAUUUUGGACAAUGGGCGAAAGCCUGAUCCAGCAAUGCCGCGUGAGUGAAGAAGGCCUUCGGGUUGUAAAGCUCUUUUGUCAGGGAAGAAACGGUGAGAGCUAAUAUCUUUUGCUAAUGACGGUACCUGAAGAAUAAGCACCGGCUAACUACGUGCCAGCAGCCGCGGUAAUACGUAGGGUGCAAGCGUUAAUCGGAAUUACUGGGCGUAAAGCGUGCGCAGGCGGUUUUGUAAGUCUGAUGUGAAAUCCCCGGGCUCAACCUGGGAAUUGCAUUGGAGACUGCAAGGCUAGAAUCUGGCAGAGGGGGGUAGAAUUCCACGUGUAGCAGUGAAAUGCGUAGAUAUGUGGAGGAACACCGAUGGCGAAGGCAGCCCCCUGGGUCAAGAUUGACGCUCAUACACGAAAGCGUGGGGAGCAAACAGGAUUAGAAACCCCGGUAGUCCC
rnacentral:rRNA from 1 species